GAUUGCCCUAGUAACGGCGAGUGAAGCGGCAACAGCUCAAAUUUGAAAUCUGGCGUCUUUGGCGUCCGAGUUGUAAUUUGCAGAGGGCGCUUUGGCAUUGGCAGCGGUCCAAGUUCCUUGGAACAGGACGUCACAGAGGGUGAGAAUCCCGUACGUGGUCGCUAGCCUUUACCGUGUAAAGCCCCUUCGACGAGUCGAGUUGUUUGGGAAUGCAGCUCUAAAUGGGAGGUAAAUUUCUUCUAAAGCUAAAUACUGGCCAGAGACCGAUAGCGCACAAGUAGAGUGAUCGAAAGAUGAAAAGCACUUUGGAAAGAGAGUUAAAAAGCACGUGAAAUUGUUGAAAGGGAAGCGCUUGCAGCCAGACUUGCCUGUAGUUGCUCAUCUAGGUUUCUACCUAGUGCACUCUUCUAUAGGCAGGCCAGCAUCAGUUUGGGCGGUUGGAUAAAGGUCUCUGUCAUGUACCUCUCUUCGGGGAGAACUUAUAGGGGAGACGACAUGCAACCAGCCUGGACUGAGGUCCGCGCAUCUGCUAGGAUGCUGGCGUAAUGGCUGUAAGCGGCCCGUCUUGAAACACGGACCAAGGAGUCUAACAUCUAUGCGAGUGUUUGGGUGUCAAGCCCGAGCGCGUAAUGAAAGUGAACGGAGGUGGGAACCUUUCGGGGUGCACCAUCGACCGAUCCUGAUGUCUUCGGAUGGAUUUGAGUAAGAGCAUAGCUGUUGGGACCCGAAAGAUGGUGAACUAUGCUUGAAUAGGGUGAAGCCAGAGGAAACUCUGGUGGAGGCUCGCAGCGGUUCUGACGUGCAAAUCGAUCGUCAAAUUUGGGCAUAGGGGCGAAAGACUAAUCGAACUAUCUAGUAGCUGGUUCCUGCCGAAGUUUCCCUCAGAUAGCAGUAACGUUUUCAGUUUUAUGAGGUAAAGCGAAUGAUUAGAGGCCUGGGGGUUGAAACAACCUUCACCUAUUCUCAACUUUAAAUAUGUAAGAAGUCCUUGUUACUUGAUUGAACGUGACAGUUGAAUGUAUCGUUACUAGUGGCCAUUUUUGGUAAGCAGAACUGGCGAUGCGGAAUGAACCGAAACGC
rnacentral:rRNA from 1 species